rnacentral:rRNA from 1 species
GACGAACCGUGCGAACGUUGUUCGGAAUCACUGGGCGUAAAGCGCACGUAGGCGGACCAGUCAGUUGGGGGUGAAAUCCCGGGGCUCAACCCCGGAACUGCCUCCAAAACUGCUGGUCUGGAGGUCGAGAGAGGCGAGUGGAAUUCCGAGUGUAGAGGUGAAAUUCGUAGAUAUUCGGAGGAACACCAGUGGCGAAGGCGGCUCGCUGGCUCGAUACUGACGCUGAGGUGCGAAAGCGUGGGGAGCAAACAGG